rnacentral:rRNA from 1 species
UACGUAGGGGGCUAGCGUUGUCCGGAAUCAUUGGGCGUAAAGAGCGUGUAGGCGGUCCGGUAAGUCCGCUGUGAAAGUCGGGGGCUCAACCCUCGAAUGCCGGUGGAUACUGUCGGGCUAGAGUGCGGAAGAGGCGAGUGGAAUUCCUGGUGUAGCGGUGAAAUGCGCAGAUAUCAGGAGGAACACCAAUCGCGAAGGCAGCUCGCUGGGACGUAACUGACGCUGAGACGCGAAAGCGUGGGGAGCAAACAGG